rnacentral:rRNA from 1 species
UACGGAGGGUGCAAGCGUUAUCCGGAUUUACUGGGUCUAAAGGGUGCGUAGGCGGCCUUGCAAGUCAGUGGUGAAAUACUGAUGCUCAACAUCAGAACUGCCAUUGAUACUACAAGGCUUGAGUAAAGGAGAGGUAGGCAGAAUUCAUGGUGUAGCGGUGAAAUGCUUAGAUACCAUGAGGAAUCUCAAUAGCGUAGGCAGCUUGCCAGCCUUUUACUGACGCUGAGGCACGAAAGCGUGGGUAGCAAAC